rnacentral:rRNA from 1 species
UACGUAGGGGGCAAGCGUUGUCCGGAUUUAUUGGGCGUAAAGAGCGUGUAGGCGGCCAGACAGGUCCGUUGUGAAAACUCGAGGCUCAACCUCGGGAUGUCGAUGGAAACCGUCUGGCUAGAGUCCGGAAGAGGAGUGUGGAAUUCCUGGUGUAGCGGUGAAAUGCGCAGAUAUCAGGAAGAACACCGAUGGCGAAGGCAGGUCUCUGGGCCAUAACUGACGCUGAGAAGCGAAAGCAUGGGGAGCGAACAGG